AAGUUGGUGGGGUAAAGGCCUACCAAGACAAUGAUGCAUAGCCGAGUUGAGAGACUGAUCGGCCACAUUGGGACUGAGACACGGCCCAAACUCCUACGGGAGGCUGCAGUAGGGAAUCUUCCACAAUGGGCGAAAGCCUGAUGGAGCAACGCCGCGUGUGUGAUGAAGGCUUUCGGGUCGUAAAGCACUGUUGUAUGGGAAGAACAGCUAGAAUAGGAAAUGAUUUUAGUUUGACGGUACCAUACCAGAAAGGGACGGCUAAAUACGUGCCAGCAGCCGCGGUAAUACGUAUGUCCCGAGCGUUAUCCGGGAUUUAUUGGGCGUAAAGCGAGCGCAGACGGUUUAUUAAGUCUGAUGUGAAAGCCCGGAGCUCAACUCCGGAAUGGCAUUGGAAACUGGUUAACUUGAGUGCAGUAGAGGUAAGUGGAACUCCAUGUGUAGCGGUGGAAUGCGUAGAUAUAUGGAAGAACACCAGUGGCGAAGGCGGCUUACUGGACUGCAACUGACGUUGAGGCUCGAAAGUGUGGGUAGCAAACAGGAUUAGAUACCCUGGUAGUCCACACCGUAAACGAUGAACACUAGGUGUUAGGAGGUUUCCGCCUCUUAGUGCCGAAGCUAACGCAUUAAGUGUUCCGCCUGGGGAGUACGACCGCAAGGUUGAAACUCAAAGGAAUUGACGGGGACCCGCACAAGCGGUGGAGCAUGUGGUUUAAUUCGAAGCAACGCGAAGAACCUUACCAGGUCUUGACAUCCUUUGAAGCUUUUAGAGAUAGAAGUGUUCUUCUUCGGAGACAAAGUGACAGGUGGUGCAUGGUCGUCGUCAGCUCGUGUCGUGAGAAUGUUGGGUUAAGUCCCGCAACGAGCGCAACCCUUAUUGUUAGUUGCCAGCAUUCAGAUGGGCACCUCUAGCGAGACUGCCGGUGACAAACCGGAGGAAGGCGGGGACGACGUCAGAUCAUCAUGCCCCUUAUGACCUGGGCUCACACACCGUGCCUAACAAUGGCGCUUAUACACACGAAGUUGC
rnacentral:rRNA from 1 species